UGCCUCUUUAUAGAAGUCCACUUUCCUGAGGCUUUGUGGUCUUUCACCAACUCCUGAGUGGAGUCUCAGAGGAAGGAAGUGCCGCUGGGGCGCGGGGCACCACAGUGUCCCCAAACCCAUCCGAGGAUUACACCCUUUUCCCAUUCCCUCACUGCCGGUCAGUGACAUCACGCACGCUAUAAAUCCAAACGCUACUCCAAGCUGUGCAGCGGGCGGCCGAGAGAUGUGGGGACAUUAUCGGAGUCACCGCAGUGCCACGGACGCUGCCGCAGUUUCGGUCCAGCCCGUGGUGUGUCAGAAAGCUCCUACACGAAUAAGGACAGAGGAGCAUGUCUCCAUCCUCAGCCCUUGCGUUCUCCCAGCCUCGGCAAUUCCGCUUCUGCUCCGCACCGAGGAAAGCACCUCUGCCGAACGCAGCCGGAGGAGCGCCGUGUGCCGGCCAUCGCUGUAGGCGCUGUGCCGGUGACUUCCGCGGGGUUCUACGGACGCGUGGUGCCCGCGUCCUCACUGCAAUCUAAAAAUCUGCACCGGAGAUGCGUUAUUUCCUUAGAACAGUACAACAUAUGUGCGCAUACAGAGAUAGAGAUUUAUCAGUCGUUUUAGUGCAAGCAUGCGUUCGUAUGACCGAACGUGUAUUUACAUACGUUCUGCGUCUGGACUGGCUUUGCCUUUUCAUGGCGUACACUGGACGCACACACGGAUUUAUACUCAUACGCACGCACAGCCGCUUUCUGUCCCGUUGCACUGUCCCCAGAGACUGCACACCGCUCUCCCCUUCCCUCUGGAGCCUGGCAUCACCCGCUCUGCUCCCCAGUCGUGCCCGCCGAGCCCGCCACUCCUGCCGCCCCGCAGCCUCCGGGCGCGGCCGAGUUGAAUCCCGGGCUCAGCGCUGCUCCUUCCCCCAGGCGCCGGGCCGCUCCCCGCCUGCUCUUCCCCAGUGCUUUCCCCAGGCAUCCCCACCGCCUCCGCCCCGAGAACUCCGUGUUCCCGCAGGAGAAGGACCCGCGGCUCCGCCGCCGCCUCUGCAGCUCCUUCGUCUCUAUCUUUCUCUUUCUUUAAUUUACGACCUUUCGGCUCCUGUUGACACAGUUUUCCACACUGCCUACAGUGCGAGGUCGCAUUGUAAUAUACGCCGAAUGAGCUCAGCCGUCGGGCAGUGCGCAGGAGGGUGGGGAUUUGGUGUUUCCCCACAGUUGAGCGAUGCUCGGCUCCGUCUGAGGAUAACAGCAGUCGGCCUCAUCUCCCAGCUCUCCGGGGGUCGCAGCCUGGGGUCUGCUUUCCUUCCCUCAGAGUCAAACACCUGGAACUGUUCUUCCCACGGGCUCUGUUCUUUUUGACCGCAGAGCGGGAAUGCGGAGAAAAAUAUCUGUAUUUGUCGCUAAAGGCGAGGAGGCAGGCUCCGAACACGCUGUAAGGAAGAUUCUGUGACUUACCGCCGAGCCCAGUUAAACAAACACGGAGCUGACGUCUGGAGCCGCACCGCGCCAGGACCGCUGCUCGAGGUGCGGGCGCAGUCGCGGGCCGGGGGCAGCGCUCGGUGCCUGGUUCAGUGGCGGUGCCUCGGAGCUGCUCUGGCUGAAAGCCCCAUGCCGGCUGAGCCCGAGACCCGCGCUCCGCUCUCCCGGUUCGCGUUACGCGGUGCGCUCCUCCCUCAUUCCCUUUGUGCGCGUUACGCGGCGCUAAGCGCACGGGAGCGGUGUUGCCCAUCGCGGCCGGGACGUCCGCAGUGUCCUCGGAAGCCGCUUCUACGUGAUCCUCUACGGAGCGGCACGAAGCGCUCCGUGAACGCCACGAUCGCAACGAUUUUUGCCAAGAAAUCUCCCGCAUCCAUACUGUACCUGGCUCGGGAUUGUCCGAUAUUUACAUUUUAAUGAUUUUGUUGCUAUUUUUUUUUUAAACGAAGAUUUUACAGUAAGGCAUCUGCUAAACACUUGCAUUAACCUCUGCCUCCAUGAUAAUUCCCCCCCCUUUCCCCCCCCUCGUUUUAAUUACGCUCUGGAUGCGGAGGGGCAGCCAAUCCCGGCAGAGGAGCGCGGCAAUUAGCAGGGCCGACAUCAAAAAGUUUUAUUGCGGAGCCCCGCGGACUCCGCCCCCGCCGCCAGCCAUUGGCGGUCGCCGCCUCUGACGCCAUAUAUUAACCCGAGCGGCCCUAAACAUGUAGCUGUCCAUGGAGGUCGGCCCGGGGAGCCCUGCCAGUGCCCCGGGCCGCGCCGAGCCCCGCCGCCACCGCCCCCCCGAUGUCCCAGCGGAGUGCUGAGCAUUGAGCCGCGCGGCGCGGAGAGGCGCCGACCGCGGCCCCCGAGCGCAGGGGAGUGUGGGCAGCGGCGAGCGGCCGCGGGCCGGGGCGUAUGGAAGGGGCCCGCGUGUAAGUACCACCCGGCCGGGCCGCCGCGGACUUGAGAGCGAGAGCACAGGGAAGCAAGAGGCGAGGAAGAGCCCGGGCUGGGAAGCCGAGCCCAUUUGUUUGGUCGACUGCUCUCCGUAGCGCUUUUUUUUUUCUUUUUUCUUUUCCUUUUUUUUUUUUUUUU